UACGUAGGGGGCGAGCGUUACCCGGAUUUACUGGGCGUAAAGCGCGUGUAGGCGGCUGGCCAAGCGUGGUGUGAAAUCUUCGGGCUUAACCCGAAAACUGCAUUGCGAACUGGUCUGGCUAGAGUGUGUGAGAGGGUAGUGGAAUUCCCGGUGUAGCGGUGAAAUGCGUAGAUAUCAGGAGGAACACCGGUGGUGCAAACGGCUUUCUGGACCGUAACUGACGCUGAGACACGAAAGCGUGGGGAGCAAACAGG
rnacentral:rRNA from 1 species